ACACUUUCAGAAAUAAAAAGAUAAAAUAUGAGUUUAAUUUGCGAUUAUUCUCGAGUUAAAUAUUGAAAUAAACAAUUAAUCACGAUUAAAAUUAAUAUAGUUUGACAGCACUAAAUUAUACGUAAUAAUUAUACUUUAUUGAACAGUAUUCACCUCAUAAAAGGUGACCUUGCUUCUGGCCUGUUCUGAUGAAAUGCGUGAGAUUCUAAUGUACCUACUCUCAAAUUUGAGAGAAUGCAGUGUAUAUAGUUUUUUAUUGUAUUAAUGAGCACAUAAACUUUAGCCCUGAACUAUGCUGAUUUUCUUUUCUUUUCUUUUCUUUUCUUUUCUUUUCUUUUCAGCAGGGAACAUGCUGCUUAAAACAAAACUUGGUGAUGUCCAAAAGUUUGUUAGAAUAACAGAGCCAAAUCUUAAAGAAUUUUUGGCUGCAGCAUUUGCAAAGUUUGGUGUCCCAGCUGUAACAGAAGGUGUGAAAGUUGUCGACAGUUCAGGGACUGAGUUGGAUGAAGAUGUUUUUGAGGAUGUGGUAAUGAAUCCCUCAAUUGGAGUGUUGACCAUCAAAUAUGACUCAGGUUUGUCUCUAAUCUAUAUUAUUUAAAGGAUGGGUUGUCUAAUGAAGAUUGUGAUUAUUAGAAGUGACCGGUUAAUUUAUUUCCAUUUCUCAAUUCAUGAUGAGAAUCUGUCUCAAAAGUAGCUUCUCCUGAGCCGUCCCAAUCAUCAUCGCUCAAUUCUUGGGACUCUGAAGUUACAGACAUCAUUCCUGGUAGUCCCUCCAGAAAACGCCAGAGGCUGGAUGCGGAAGCUAAGCAUUUGGUGGAAUCAAAAAGGUUCUUGGCACAAGAUUUGACAGCAGAAGAAACAAAACAACUGGGACAUAUGAUCAGGUCAUUGUAACCGAUAUAUUUGCAUAUAUUCCAAUUUUGGAAACACUGAAGACAAUUUUUCAAAACCCAGAA